CUGGAAGCCAUCAAGGAGGCGAUCCACUAAGCGCUGAAAUGUAGCUGGGGCGUUUUUCAUCCCGAAUGGCAUGACCUUAAAUUGGUACAAGCCAAACGGGGUGACAAACGCUGACUUAGGGAUAGCGUCCUUGGCCAGGGGAAUCUGCCAGUACCCUUUGCACAGAUCGAUGGUGGUCAGAUAGCGUCCCCUGGCAAUACGAUCUAAUAGUUUGUCUACCCGGG